GACGAACGCUGGCGGCGUGCUUAACACAUGCAAGUCGAACGGUAAGGCCCUUCGGGGUACACGAGUGGCGAACGGGUGAGUAACACGUGGGUGAUCUGCCCUGCACUUCGGGAUAAGCCUGGGAAACUGGGUCUAAUACCGGAUAGGACCACUGCCUGCAUGGGUGGUGGUGGAAAGCUUUUGCGGUGUGGGAUGGGCCCGCGGCCUAUCAGCUUGUUGGUGGGGUGAUGGCCUACCAAGGCGACGACGGAUAGCCGGCCUGAGAGGGUGACCGGCCACACUGGGACUGAGAUACGGCCCAGACUCCUACGGGAGGCAGCAGUGGGGAAUAUUGCACAAUGGGCGCAAGCCUGAUGCAGCGACGCCGCGUGAGGGAUGACGGCCUUCGGGUUGUAAACCUCUUUCAGCACCGACGAAGCGCAAGUGACGGUAGGUGCAGAAGAAGGACCGGCCAACUACGUGCCAGCCGCCGCCGCGG
rnacentral:rRNA from 1 species